rnacentral:tRNA from 1 species
GGGCUCGUGGCCUAGUCUGGAUAGGGCGGCGGCCUCCUAAGCCGUAGACCGCGGGUUCAAAUCCUGCCGGGCCCA